rnacentral:rRNA from 1 species
UACAGGGGGGGCAAGCGUUGUUCGGAAUUACUGGGCGUAAAGGGCGCGUAGGCGGCGACUCAAGUUAGAUGUGAAAGUCCUGGGCUUAACCUGGGGACUGCAUUUGAUACUGGGUUGCUUGAAUUCGGGAGAGGAUAGCGGAAUUCCCAGUGUAGAGGUGAAAUUCGUAGAUAUUGGGAAGAACACCGGUGGCGAAGGCGGCUAUCUGGACCGACAUUGACGCUGAGGCGCGAAAGCGUGGGGAGCAAACAGG